GUUACCUUCCAUGAAGUAGCCUGGCGACGGUAAAGUGUAUGUAUGUGUAUAUGUGUAGGUUUGUUAUAGCAGAGUUUGAAACUGUAUAAUGUUUAAGUUUAUAUUUUAAAGAGAUUGCUGAUAGUUAUGUUCCUUGUUUUAAAUUCUCGUUUAUGGAAUUUAAAAGCAGUGCCUCUAUAGCAACAACAAAAAAAAUUCAACUAUCGUUAUUGAAUAACAGUUAGGUCACCAGUAACGAGUCACUUUAACCACACACCAACAGAAACAUUUAAAAGAGGGACGAAAGAUACCAAAGGGACAAUCAAACUCAUAAAUCUAAAACAAACUGACAACGCCAUGGCAAAAAAUGAAAAAAGACAAACAAACAACAGCACACAUGACACAACAUAGAAAAACUAAAGAAUAAACAACACGAAUCCCACCCGAAGAGAAAAUUGAUUUGAUUUUUGGUGUUUUAGCGCCACUUUUAAGCCACUGGCAUUUGUCUCAGAAAACAAAUUUCCUAUAUACCUAAAUAUAACACAAGGUACUUACAUUUUGUAACUCGUAUUUUUGAAAAAUGUUAGCCGGUCGCGAAAUUCCGUUACUGUGGAUUCAUUAUUAUUCGUUGGAUAUCAAAUUCGUGGCUUUCGUGGGUAAAGGUAAACCACAUUCUAACUUUAAUCGAAUGAAGAAUUCUCAAAAGCUUUGUAUACAAACUUCAGCAAAACCACGAAAUCAAAUAUCCAAGAAUAUGCAAGUUUUCCUUAAUCCACAAAAAUAAGUACUCACGAAAAUUAAUGAAUCCACAGUAUAUGCCAAUUUUGCGUUGUCAAACCCACUAAAACUUGUUAAGUCGUAUAUCUAGAUUGAUUUGUCUACACAAUGGUGUAUAACACGCUUACUUUUGUUGUCGAAAUCAUCCGUAGCAAUCCUGCCCAAGUAUGUCAAUCGUAAUUGUUUCGUAUACCGACGAAAAAUUGAAAAGAAAUGUCUCGCAGUAAAAGGUAUAUUCCCACUCUCUUUAUAUAUCUAGGUUUCAGAUUUGUCAAAUUUAUUGAAAGGUCUAAAUGUUUCUCGGAGUUAUCUGAUCUUAUUUCAUUUGAUACGUACAAUCAAGAGAGAGUAUGAAUGACAUUGACGUACAGGGAAAAUUUGUGUCUUAAAAAAAAAGAAACUAGUAAUUUUUAUUAGACAUACCGCAAAUAACACUUGUUUGGUCUUUUCACCGUAUCUUAUACAAAUUUACUAAUUGGGUGAAAAGUUCUAUUCAGACAAAAAAUAUAUAUUUUUUUCUUAAAUAAUUUUUAUAAUUAUUCAUUUACUGCGAGUUUUCCAAUCUGGCGUCGGUAGACGAAAUAAUUACGAUUGACGUACUUGAGUAGGAUUGCUACAGCUGAUUCCGACAAAAAACGUAGGCGUGUUAUACACCAUUUGUAGAUAAAUCAAUUAAAAGGAGUUGGCUAGCAAUACCCCUUUUUGGCCCCAAAAUAUAGCAGUUUUACAAAAUUGUUAAAAUGCAUACUUUAAGUUAAUUAUUGGAAAGUAGAAUGCCUCUGCUACAUAAAUAUGGGCUGUUAUUGACAAUAUAAUGCACAUAUAUCGGGUACUAGAAUCUUAAAGUCAUGUAAUUACUAAAAUCUUCACAAUUUUAGUAUUUGAGUUAAAUUUUAGACGGUUUCCGUCUUAAAUGAAAGUGGCCGCAUUUGUGUUCAUUCUUAAUUUUGAAAUGUAAGUUGUUUUUGAUGAUAAUACAUCACAUAUAUAAAGGUUGAGGAUAAACACGGAUGCGGUCACUUUUAUUUUUGACAGAGCCAUCUGAAAAGUGUCAUUUUUUGGCAUAUUUGAUAGGUUUUUAAUAUUUAAGCUUGAAUCGGAGCGUUUUUAAUGACUAAAUCAGUUAAAAUCUUUAACAUUAACUAAUUGAAUCAACUCAAAGAGACACUUAAGUGUUUAAAAAAUCUUUCGACAGAUGAACCUGAAUUUAUAGGCCAAAAUCGGCCCUUUCCUGACCUUGUUAUAUACUCCUUUACGACAUAACUAGUUUUAGUGGGUAUGGCAACCGAGAAUUCGGCAUUUAACGGAAUUUCGCGACCGGCUGAUAUUUUUCAAAAAUUCGAGUUAAGUACAUUCUGAUAUAUUAAGGAAUAUAGGGGAAAAAAUUCUGAGACAAGUGCCUGUGAGUUAAGCUCCGCAUUAAGGUAAUUUCGUGGCGGCCAGUUUUUUAUUGGUUGGGGAAGCCGGAGUGCCCGGAGAAAAACCACCGACCUUCGAUAGGAAAACUGACAAUCCUAGUCAAUUAAGAUUGGAGUCGAGGGCACCCGCACGAGCGGGGUUCGAAAUCAUAACCUCAAUGUUGAAUGGCUAGGGAUUACAUUAGUAACUACUUAGACCACUCGGCCACCGAGUCCCCCUCUCGAAGAGAAAAGAAUGAUAAGAGUUAAAUACCAAAGCGACAAAUUACUAAAUAGUGUCAUUUUUCAGUGAAAAAGAGAGAGUCAAACUUUUUAAAGCACAGUACGUCUACUCUACAGCUACUACUGAUUGUUCAGCAUAACAAAGGUUUAAAUGAAUGUUGUGAAACAAAAAGGGGUAAGGGGUGGAAAAUCUAUCUGUUUUGUUAAAAUACUUUGAAAUUUUUCUCUCAAUUAUGGAGUUUAUAUAUAAAUAAAAUAAUCAGAUAACCAUAUAAAUGUUAUUUCAGUUGCUGGCUCAUCAAUCCAGUUUAACCUUAAAAUUGUAAAUUAGAGUUUUUUUGAAUUUCUAAAUUACUGCUUGUUGCAUAAUAAAUAUUGUUUUUACAGAAUUAAUGAUUACGGAUGUCCAUAAUAAUUUGAAAUAUUGCGCUAUGUUAAAAACAGUCGUCGAGUUUCGUCGAAAUUAUUGGAAACCUAGAAUAAUCAACAAGUGAACAAAAUUCUUCGUAAAUGUUUUAGCUACCGAGAAAUAACCAAGCGACCGUAUAGUAUAAGUGUAUAUGUGUAUGUUUGUAAUAGCACUGUUGAAGCAUUCCACAGUUUAAGGCAAAGGCACCGAG
rnacentral:lncRNA from 1 species